rnacentral:rRNA from 1 species
ACGAACGCUGGCGGCGUGCUUAACACAUGCAAGUCGAACGUGAUUUUUGUGGAAAUUCUUUCGGGAAUGGAAAUGAAAUGAAAGUGGCGAACGGGUGAGUAACACGUGAGCAACCUACCUUACACAGGGGGAUAGCCGUUGGAAACGACGAUUAAUACCGCAUGAGACCACAGAAUCGCAUGAUAUAGGGGUCAAAGAUUUAUCGGUGUAAGAAGGGCUCGCGUCUGAUUAGCUAGUUGGAAGGGUAAAGGCCUACCAAGGCGACGAUCAGUAGCCGGUCUGAGAGGAUGAACGGCCACAUUGGAACUGAGACACGGUCCAAACUCCUACGGGAGGCAGCAGUGGGGAAUAUUGCACAAUGGGGGGAACCCUGAUGCAGCGACGCCGCGUGAGCGAAGAAGGU